rnacentral:rRNA from 1 species
UAAUACGGAGGGUGCAAGCGUUAUCCGGAAUCACUGGGUUUAAAGGGUGCGUAGGCGGUUUGAUAAGUCAGAGGUGAAAGCUAGCAGCUUAACUGUUAAAUUGCCUUUGAUACUGUCAGACUUGAAUCAAGUUGAGGUAGGCGGAAUGUGACAUGUAGCGGUGAAAUGCAUAGAUAUGUCAUAGAACACCAAUUGCGUAGGCAGCUUGCUGGGCUUGAAUUGACGCUGAGGCACGAAAGCGUGGGGAUCAAACAGG